rnacentral:lncRNA from 1 species
GGGAAAGGAGUCUACAUGCAUUUCAAUAGAAGAUUGGCAAAAAGAUGCCCAAGAUAGAGGAAAGAAUAAGCAUUGCUAGAAUUGUGCCCAAAACACAAACUACAAAUACUUCAAGAAGCCAAAGCAUGGACAGGUAUGACAAAGUAGAACUUUUAAGUUAGUUGAGAAUAAAUAUGAAGAGCAGUAUAUAAGCAUUUUGCUCCAGAAUUUAAGCAAUUACAUCUUUUAUCUAAAAUGAAUUUUAUAGAUGCAGAAAACAAUAAGAUUCUAGAUAUUAAAUCGGUUACCUUUUCAGGACUUGCCACAAAUAUUUGUGAUAGAAGAUGUCUACAUUCCAUGGAAACUCGUACAUAAUCGGGGACUGAGUACUGGACACUAAGUAUCUUCUGUAUAAGCCACAAAGGGUCCA